rnacentral:rRNA from 1 species
UACAGAGGUCUCAAGCGUUGUUCGGAUUCAUUGGGCGUAAAGGGUGUGUAGGUGGCGCGCUAAGUCGGGUGAUUGAAAUCCCUCAGCUUAACUGGGGAACUGCGUCUGAUACUGGAUGGCUUGAGUUUGGGAGAGGGAUGCGGAAUUCCAGGUGUAGCGGUGAAAUGCGUAGAUAUCUGGAGGAACACCGGUGGCGAAGGCGGCAUCCUGGACCAACACUGACACUGAGGAGCGAAAGCCAGGGGAGCAAACGGGG